rnacentral:misc_RNA from 1 species
UGAAAAUGAAUUAAAUAUCAAGGUUUGUUCUUAUGAUGUGUCUAAGAAGUUUAGUGUUGAUGCUUUGAAGGAUUCUAACUUGAACAAUUAUGCAACUGAUUUUAGAAGUUCUGUUCAAAAAAAUAUCAAUACCUAUUCUGUUGUCCUAAAUGAUAAACUCAUGGCAAAACUUUCAAUAUGCCAAAAUGAUCCCAUCCUAGUUUUUUUGCAUGUCCAAGCGAUGAUGAUGUUGAUAAUAUGGAGUACGAUGCCUCCAAGAACGUCCCACCAUCAUCAAAUUUUCUUAAAAAUGUUGUUAAUUCAAUGAAGGAUAACAUAGCAGUGGAAACACGACCUUCAAGCUAUCAUUCAGUAGGAUCUUCUGGAAGGAUAUGUGAUUCCAAAAGUGGUAAGAAAUCCAGAAGAUAUGCAUUAGACAGUAUCAGUUGGUUUAGAAAGUACCAUUAUCAAGGAUAAUGCAUCCGAAGAAUGUUCAGUUUCCAAAUGUGCUUAUAUGGGCAAUCUCAAUAUAUCCAAAUUUGACAAGACAGCAACAGCUGGAGCUGAAGGUGUGUCCGUGACUGUCUGCAAUAAGCCAAAGAGUUCAAAGAAGGAAAACCAAAACAAGGGAAACAAGGGUUGGGUUGAAGAGUGGAAUUAAAAAUUUAUCGACUGGUUCUUGGUCUCAGUAUUUGGAGGCUGUAUUAGAAUGUGUUGAUGAGGGAGAAGUAAUAUGUGAAGAGUCUUUGUUAAGGUCACCAACUGCUGGAGAUUUUGGUAUUUUGAAACAACCAUCAAAUAAUUUUCAGGAGACUAUGCUUUCUACGAUGAAGACUUUUGCAAAAGUGAAUGAUGUUACUCCAUCUAUGAUAGAAAGUAUUCCAGUGAAUACUAUUCCAAGUAAUUCUGGUUCUCAAAAAUGUUGUAGGCCUUUGGGGGAUUUGAAAGAAAAUAAGAAGCAGAAGCCCAUGUCUGGAUGCUUAAUGAAUCACAAAAACAAAGAGUUGAUAUCAGAGGUUGAUGAGCUGCUAGGUCAAAGAAAACUGAAGAAGCGUUCACAUUUGUAGAAGUUUAGAGAAAGAAAGGGAAG